CACGUAGGGCGCGAGCGUUGUCCGGAAUUAUUGGGCGUAAAGAGCUCGUAGGCGGCCUGUUGCGUCCGCUGUGAAAGCCCGGGGCUUAACCCCGGGUCGGCAGUGGAUACGGGCAGGCUAGAGGUAGGUAGGGGAGAAUGGAAUUCCAGGUGUAGCGGUGAAAUGCGUAGAUAUCUGGAGGAACACCGGUGGCGAAGGCGGCAUCCUGGACCAAUAUUGACGCUGAGGAGCGAAAGCCAGGGGAGCAAACGGG
rnacentral:rRNA from 1 species